rnacentral:miRNA from 15 species
AGAUUCAACCUGCAAUUUUUCC